GAAACCGACAAAAUAAAAUACAAUACAAAAUUACAGAGAAAGUUUAUUUAGUGCGACCAUUUGUUAUACUUUGUUAUUUUAAUACCCCAUGUGAAGAAAUCCACAAAUCACUCAGAAUUAUCCCCAAGCUAAAAGUUUGAUGAAAUCAGAGAUCAACGCAUGUUGACUUUAAUUUAUGCAAACCAUUUGAUAAUUGCGAAAUGAAACUCAUGAGAGAGCGAUAUGAAAAUCUGUUGACUGAUUGUCUGCCUUGAGGCUGGAGCAAUGAAAACAUUCAGAGUUGAGUUGAGUUCAUAUUCAAAUACCCAGAGCAUUGCAUUUUUAAAGUGUGAGAGAGCUAUAGCAAAACUCAAAGUGGAAUGCCAGCCACAACUCCAACUCCAACUCCAACUUCUCGAGUUACAGCUCCGUCUGGAGGCAGUUGGUAAUCCCCAAGUGCUGCUGAACACGAGUAUAACACACGUAAUGCAUAUUUAAACAUUUGCUGAUAGCAAAUGACAAAGGUGGUGCCCAGGAGAAUGAGAGAGCGAGAGAGAGGGAGAGAGAGAGAGAGCGAGUGAGUGGCAAAACAAUGUGUGGCUAGAAGCAGGCAAUAAAGUGGAGUGGAGUUUGGUGAAACGUGGCAUUUAACAAGUACGUGAGCCAAGCCACUCACCUGAAGAGCGACGACUGUCGAGGAGGAGCAGGAUGAGGAGAAGCUGUUCCAUGUGCUGGUCCUUAACGAAGCAGAACUUUCGCUCUCAGGCAGAAAGCUGAAGCACUCAAGUCUUACCUGGCGACGGCGGCCUGUUAAGUGCCACACACAAGCUGAGUAUUAUAGCGCACUGUACUCGCAAGCUCCUCGCUUUGGCGAGGACAAAGUUGCAAGCGGAAACGGAAGCGACAACUACAACUACAACACGAGGUAGAAAGCUGACUGAGCUGAACUGAACUGGACAUAGUCAAAUGCCAAACGAUGUGUGUCUUUCUCUCUCGCUGUGUCUUUCUCUAUGCUAUAAGCCUUUUGUAUCCAUAGUGACUAAGAGAGAUGCAAGUGCAAGGCAGGAGGUGGAAGGCAGAAGAGUCACUAAACUGUAACUGGAAUUACUGAAAACUAUUCACACACAAAAAUAUUGUUCAUGCUGCACACAAAAAUUGAAAAUUUUCUACUUUUGCCUGAAAUCGGAGCAGAGCAGAGAAGAGCAGCAAAAACUUUGUCUGGUUACAACACGCUGAACAGGUAAGCCAAGCUGCAACCGCUGCCCCCUCCCCAGCCAUCCCCUCGAAGUGAAAAGGGUACGGAUGCGGACUACUGGCUGAUGAAAAGUCAGGAAGUAAAGUUUUACGGUUCACAUAAAAGCUGAAAUGUUCAUACAAUCAGCAUGAAUUAUAACUCGGAUGCGGAUUAAUAGUUGGCCAGCUACAUACAUAUAUAUAUAUAUUUGAAUGGGCUUGUAUGUAGGUGUAUUUGUAUGCGGUUGUUCAGGUGUGCGAGGAUUUUGAUUUUGAUUUGGCUUUGGCUACUAUUGCAGCUUAUUCGCUUUUAGUGCAAUUGUAGCCAGAUUUUGCUCAAAACCUCGUGAAAUGUUUGAGAGCUUUUGUAUACUGCAUUUUGAAUGCAACAUUUCGCAUAUAAAUUCUAAUUAAAUUUUGGAAAUUGAUAGGAAUUGUCAAUGCUGCCCAAUUGAUGCCAUGAAUUCAGUGAUGACAGUUCGUUUAUUAAUCAUUAAUUAAAAUGAAAUGAUGGAAAAUUAUAUGAUAUGUUAGAGUUUUAUGAUUUUGAUUGAAAAUCUGCUAGAGUUGAGUAACUUUUCAUUAGAGCGCAUUUCAAUGAAAAGACAAAUUUCAGCAAUAAUUGAAUUUAAACAUUCAAAUAGAAUACAAAGUAUUUCAAUUUGCAUGCAAGUUAAAAUAUUCUUUGAGAUUAUGGGUA